AGAGGUCUCCCCGCGGGCGAACGCGUGCCGCUCGAUCCCGGUGCGCCAUCUCUGGUACGCCUCGUCGGGAAUCUCAUAGAACACGUCGGCGACAUAGCCCUCCAUGUCCUCCCAGUUCUCCGCGUGGAGGAUGAAGGUCUUAGGAUUGUAAACUCCUUUUAUCACCGAAGAUUAUGACGUUAGGUGAUGAAUAAGCACUUGCUAACUACGUGCCAGAAGCCUCGGUAAUGCGUAGAGUGCAAACGUUAUCCGGAUUUAUUGGGUGUAAAGAGUUGCGUAGGCUGUCCGAUAGAUUUUGCUAGAAAGCCCAUGGCUUAACCAUGGUUUUGGGCAAAAUAUCAUCGGACUUGAUGGUGGGAGAGGGUGCUGGAACCGAUAUUGUAGCAGUGAAAUGCGUUGAUAUCUUCGGGAACACCAAAGGCGGAGGCAGGCACCUAGUCAAAACAUGACGCUGAGGCACGAAAGCUAGGGGAGCGAAAAAGAUUAGAGACCUUUGUAGUCCUAGCCGUAAACUAUCUCUGCUGGAUAAUCCGCCUUUUGGCGGAUCGUCGUAGCUAACGCGUUAAGCAGAGCACCUGGGGAGUACGAGCGCAAGCUUAAAACUCAAAGGAAUUGACGGGGACCCGCACAAGCAGUGGAGCGUGUUGUUUAAUUCGAUACGAAACGAAAAACCUCACCAGGGCUUGACAUGCUAGCGUUCUAUUUUCUGGAAACAGAAGAAAUCCGUAAGGAGGCUAGCACAGAUACUGCAUGGCUGUCGUAAGUUCGUGGCGUGAGCUGUCAGGUUAAGUCCUGAAACGAGCGCAACCCUCACCGUAUGUUAAAUUGAUCAUGCGGAACAGUCCCGCCUUAUGGCGGGAAGGAAGGCGAGGAUGACGUCAAGUCAGCACGGUUCUUACGCCCUGGGCCACAAACACACUACAAUGGCUAAAACAACGAGUUGCAAGAUGGUAACAUUAAGCUAAUCUCUUAAAUUUAGCCUCAGUUCAGAUUGGGGUCUGCAACCCGACCCCAUGAAGUCGGAAUUGCUAGUAAUCGCAGAUCAGCGUGCUGCGGUGAAUACGUUCUCGGGUCUUGUACAAAUUAAAUGCGCCUGGCAGUUUAGAAAACUAGGUGGUGUAAAUCCAUCUAUCGCGCAAGCGAUAUAGCAA
rnacentral:rRNA from 1 species